UGUUUGUCAUACAAAGUACUAUACAAAGUUCUCACAAAGUUGUUGCGCGCUAUUUUAAAAUUAAACUCAUCAUAUUGUUGAUAAAACCUAAACAACGAAAGUACAACCAUCACGGAACGAGGAUUUAUCAAGGUCGAUAGUUCAAAUUUGCCAAGAAUAAACUUGUUGAUGCUGGCAGCAUUUUUUGCAACAAUGACUUUGCUCGACUACAUUACAAAAUAUCUUCACGACCAUAUGGUGAUGACGCUGUGAGCUACGCACAGCUUAGACGUGAAGGGAAAUUGUAUAGUGUAGUGUAAAAUUUGUCCUGAGCUUAAGGUUCAUGCCAAGUUGUAUGUUGUGUCAUAUUAAUAGUAGAUGAAAAGGAAGCUGUUGUUGCUAUAGAAUAUAACGACUGUACGUUCUACGAAGCUUCUCAAGGAGGCUGCAAGCAUUAUAUAGCAUUGCUGUAUGCAUGGAGAUACAAAAAAAAAAAAAAAUGCAGAGACAGCUGUGGAAUGUUACUGAAAAAAAAAAUUAUCAAGUCAAAACUGUCCUAAGUUCGAGCUAGCUUGAAGUAUAUGUCAACAAAGUACAUGUAAAAAAAAAAAAUAAAAUAAAAAAAAAAAAAACUAGCUUACCAUCAAACAAUAGAGCAUUUGAAUAAAGUGUAAAAAAAAAAGCCGUUGUAAAAUGAGUGAUCGGACUCUUAUAGCCCAGAUUCCAUUGGCCAUGAAACAUGGUAGGUUAUUAAAAGAUUAAGUGAGAAAACCUGUCAGUAUAAGUUACGCAAGUAAAUUUCAAAGUAUGGGCUCAUGCUGUCCGAAGAGUAUCCAAUGAUAGCAGGUUCACCGGAUUUGUGAGGAUCACAUUAUUGAGAUUAAGUGUGCCUCAAGUACAAAAAUUCAUCGACGUUAUGUUAAGAAUUGCAAACCCAUUGAAAAAUAUAACAAAUGUAAAAUUCUGUUUUAGUUAAAAAAAAAAAAAAUUGUAAGUUGUACAGAUGUAAAUAAAAUGCACAAAUUAUAGUGUUAUACAUAGUUUUAUUUAAUGAGUGAACCUUGUAAAUAUAUAAAAGCGCAUGCAAUCACAAUAAUGUCAUCAAGAACUUUAAUAAGACUUGUAUUAAGACAUGCAUGAAGCUUUGACACAUUAAACUCCCUUAAAUGUUAAUAAAUAACUUGUUCAGCGUUUUUAUCGUUGUAUUAGUACAUUUGGGGACCACACGCCAUCGAAAUACAUUGAGUUUCAUGAUUAUUGUAUCAAAAU